rnacentral:rRNA from 1 species
UUGAACGCUGGCGGCAGGCCUAACACAUGCAAGUCGAACGGUAACAGGAAGAAGCUUGCUUCUUUGCUGAAGAGUGGCGGACGGGUGAGUAAUGUCUGGGAAACUGCCUGAUGGAGGGGGAUAACUACUGGAAACGGUAGCUAAUACCGCAUAACGUCGCAAGACCAAAGAGGGGGACCUUCGGGCCUCUUGCCAUCGGAUGUGCCCAGAUGGGAUUAGCUAGUAGGUGGGGUAACGGCUCACCUAGGCGACGAUCCCUAGCUGGUCUGAGAGGAUGACCAGCCACACUGGAACUGAGACACGGUCCAGACUCCUACGGGAGGCAGCAGUGGGGAAUAUUGCACAAUGGGCGCAAGCCUGAUGCAGCCAUGCCGCGUGUAUGAAGAAGGCCUUCGGGUUGUAAAGUACUUUCAGCGGGGAGGAAGGGAGUAAAGUUAAUACCUUUGCUCAUUGACGUUACCCGCAGAAGAAGCACCGGCUAACUCCGU